rnacentral:rRNA from 1 species
UACGUAGGGGGCUAGCGUUGUCCGGAAUCAUUGGGCGUAAAGCGCGCGUAGGCGGCCCGGUAAGUCCGCUGUGAAAGUCGGGGGCUCAACCCUCGGAUGCCGGUGGAUACUGUCGGGCUUGAGUACGGAAGAGGCGAGUGGAAUUCCUGGUGUAGCGGUGAAAUGCGCAGAUAUCAGGAGGAACACCGAUUGCGAAGGCAGCUCGCUGGGACGUUACUGACGCUGAGACGCGAAAGCGUGGGGAGCAAACAGG